rnacentral:rRNA from 1 species
UACGGGAGGGGCAAGCGUUGUUCGGAAUUACUGGGCGUAAAGGGCUCGUAGGCGGCCAACUAAGUCAGACGUGAAAUCCCCAGGCUCAACCUGGGAACUGCGUCUGAUACUGGAUGGCUUGAAUUCGGGAGAGGGAUGCAGAAUUCCAGGUGUAGCGGUGAAAUGCGUAGAUAUCUGGAGGAACACCGGUGGCGAAGGCGGCAUCCUGGACCAAUUCUGACACUGAGGAGCGAAAGCCAGGGGAGCAAACGGG